GGAGGGUGCAAGCGUUAUCCGGAUUCACUGGGUUUAAAGGGUGCGUAGGUGGGCAGGUAAGUCAGUGGUGAAAUCUCCGGGCUCAACCCGGAAACUGCCAUUGAUACUAUCUGUCUUGAAUAUCGUGGAGGUGAGCGGAAUAUGUCAUGUAGCGGUGAAAUGCUUAGAUAUGACAUAGAACACCAAUUGCGAAGGCAGCUCACUACGCGAAUAUUGACACUGAGGCACGAAAGCGUGGGGAUCAAACAGGAUUAGAUACCCUGGUAGUCCACGCCCUAAACGAUGGAUACUCGACAUCAGCGAUACACUGUUGGUGUCUGAGCGAAAGCAUUAAGUAUCCCACCUGGGAAGUACGACCGCAAGGUUG
rnacentral:rRNA from 1 species